rnacentral:rRNA from 1 species
UACGGAGGGUCCAAGCGUUAUCCGGAUUUAUUGGGUUUAAAGGGUCCGUAGGCGGGGUUUUAAGUCAGUGGUGAAAUCCUACAGCUCAACUGUAGAACUGCCAUUGAAACUGGAACUCUUGAAUGUGAUUGGAGUGGGCGGAAUAUGUCAUGUAGCGGUGAAAUGCUUAGAUAUGACAUGGAACACCGAUAGCGAAGGCAGCUCACUAAGUCAUGAUUGACGCUGAUGGACGAAAGCGUGGGGAGCGAACAGG